rnacentral:lncRNA from 1 species
UGGUGGUGGAGAUUGGGCGAGAUUGGGGGCUGGGGCUGGGGAGCUGGGGAGCGGGUCGGUUGCGAUGGAGAGGGUUGUAAAUAUCAUUCGAAACUAAUCCGAACCCAAUGCAAAAGAGCGAGGAGGAGAGCGGGUUAGUAGCGGGUGGUAGCGGGCACAUUCUGCCGAGUUGUGUUCGGCGCCGGUGCGGGAUGGACAGCAAAGGAAAGGGAGGCUGGGUGCGCCGCCGUGUGUGCAAAGCAUACGCAUGCUCACUGCCCUAUCACCCCCGCCACCUCCUUGCCACCACCACCACCUCAUCACCACCACCACCACCACCACCACCUCAUCACCACCACCACCACCACAUCCUCACCACCACCACCACAUCCUCACCACACCAUCACCACAUCCUCAACACACCAUUACCACAUCCUCACCACCUCAUCAUCACCACCACCACCACCACCACCACCACCACCACAUCAUCAUCAUCAUCCUCACCACCUCAUCACCUCAUCACCACAUCCUCACCACCACAUCCUCACCACCACAACCGCCGCCGCCGCCUCCGCCACCGCGCACAGGUGGGCCCGGGCGAGGCCGCCGUCCUCAUCGUGGCCAGUGACGGGCUGUGGGACGUGCUGCCGGAGGC